rnacentral:rRNA from 1 species
CCUACGGGAGGCAGCAGUGGGGAAUAUUGGACAAUGGGCGAAAGCCUGAUCCAGCAAUGCCGCGUGUGUGAAGAAGGCCUUCGGGUUGCAAAGCACUUUAAGUUGGGAAGAAAAAGCUCUGGCUAAUAUCUAGAGCCUUGACGGUACCAACAGAAUAAGCACCGGCUAACUCUGUGCCAGCAGCCGCGGUAAUACAGAGGGUGCUAGCGUUAAUCGGAUUUACUGGGCGUAAAGCGUGCGUAGGCGGUUUGAUAAGUCGAUUGUGAAAGCCCCGGGCUUAACCUGGGAAUUGCAGUUGAUACUGUCAGACUAGAAAACGGUAGAGGGAGGCGGAACUCCAGGUGUAGCGGUGAAAUGCGUAGAUAUCUGGAAGAACACCGAUGGCGAAGGCAACCUCCUGGGCCUGUUUUGACGCUGAGGCACGAAAGCGUGGGUAGCAAACAGGAUUAGAUACCCUGGUAGUCCACGCCGUAAACGAUGAGACUUGACGUUGGUUGCUUAGCAAAUCGGUGUCGUAGCUAACGCGAUAGUUCUCCGCGUGGGGAGGACGGCGCGUAGUAGUUAACGUUAUAAUUAGAGUUAGACGGCGNGAGACGNGCGACGGACGACGACGAGGGAGGAGG